UUUCAGAAUUCGUGGUGAAUAUUAUUUUUGUUAAUAAAUACAAAUUUUUUUAUUUGAGAUACAAUUACAAAAUGUUUAAACUAAUUAGUAUAUUGGUUUUGAUUACAUUUUUGGCUGUAGUAUUUGGUGCUCCAGCUCCUUCACCACAAAUAAUUUAUGGAUCACCAGUUGCUUAUACCGCUUACUCAACUUACGCAUAUCCAUAUGUUUAUCCAUAUUCUGGAGUCUACACAUAUUACGGUUAAAAAUAUGUCCGCAGUGAGAAAAAAAUAAAAAUUUCUUAAUUUUUACAUCUUUUUCUCUUAAUAAGAAAGUGAUAAAAAUUUCAGUUUCCUUUACAGAAAUAUUCGAAAUUAAUGAUUUAAUAUAUGAAAAAUGGUUUAUGCUGAAAUUAUUUUAAUUUACUACUUAAGAAUGUGUAUUUGAUUUUGUUUUUCUUUUUCGAAUAAAUUUUAAUUGAAAAAACUUA